rnacentral:rRNA from 1 species
AACGAACGCUGGCGGCGCGCCUAAUACAUGCAAGUCGAACGAUGUAGCAAUACAUAGUGGCGCACGGGAGAGUAACACGUGGAUAAUCUCCCCUCGAGAGAGGAAUAACUAGUCGAAAGAUUGGCUAAUACUUCAUAAGACCACAGAAACUAAUGUUUCAGGGGUAAAAGUCGUAAGACGCUUGAGGAUGAGUCUGCGUCCCAUUAGCUAGUUGGUGAGGUAACGGCUCACCAAGGCGACGAUGGGUAGCUGGUCUGAGAGGAUGAUCAGCCUCACUGGAACUGACACACGGUCCAGACUCCUACGGGAGCAGCAGUAGGAAUAUUGCACAAUGGGCGAAAGCCUGAUGCAGCGACGCCGCGUGAGUGAUGAAGGACUUCGGUUUGUUAAAGCUCUGUUGUCAGGGAAUAAAAAA